UGAUCCAAAAGCCCCGCAUCACAUUCAGCUUCUUGCAAGCAAGAAUCUCUCAUUAGAUGACUGUGAUUCAGCUUCUUUUUCUCAAAGCAGAAUUCUUCAACUAAUCCACAGACAUCUCUCUCAUAAGCCGGAAACCUCUCUUUAAAAAUAGAAAAAAAAGAAAUGGGAAAAAAGAGAGGAAAAUUUAAACUUCAAUGUUGUUGGCGGUCAUAAAAUUAGAAAUUAUUA
rnacentral:lncRNA from 1 species